AGAACCGCCACUGAAGAAGGAGAGGGCCUCCCUCGGCAGCUCGACAUAUCUAAUUGGGCUGGCGACACCGCCAUUUGGAGAAGUUCCUAUUAACUCUGGGUAGAUGAGAGAAUGGCCAGCCUUCCGGCAGAGACCAAAAGGAGCUGCCACCCUGAGACCAUCCAGGGAAAUGGAAACCAGACAGUUACCUGUGGAGUAAGAGCAAAUAGAAGUUUGCUAAAUAUUGAGGGAUGGCUGCAAAGACUCUUGUCAGCAUGAGUUUGCAGAGGAAUCGUCCAGGAGCUCUAGCCAGAUAAGAAUAUGGCAGAAAUGGACCUGAGCAGCCUGGACAUCCUUCUAAGGAUACAUAAACAGUCCUCAUAUUUCUGCCUUCUGCAUCGCUGGCUUACCAAGGGAAAAGAAAUCAAACAUCAGAGUUUACUUUCCUCAUCGGAUGGAAAGCGAGCGAGAGCAGUGAGCCCGCGAGCAUUGUUGAUGCAAGUGAAGAGCCGUCCGGUUGGCAGUUGCUACUGUCAGUGAGAUACAUGUCUGGUUUCGAGAGGGCUCUGCUCAUGACCCGCCUGGCUCCAGAUAGGGCCGCCCCAUUGACUGGGGCUGGGUUUGUGAGAAAUGCUUCCUGACCAGCUGUGCUUACGAGAGAGACAAGAUCCCCAUUUUCAGGGGCUGCUCAGUUCUCUGGCCAGAAGCGGUGUGUCCUCCACAGCAGAAGGUUGCAUCUAGGAGGAUGACUCCAGUUUGCAGAGGAAUCAUCCAGGAGCCCAACCGGACAAGAAUAUGGCAGAAGUGGACCUGAGCAGCCUGGACAUCCUUCUAAGGAGACACGAAUAGUCCUCAUGUUUCCGCUUUCUGCAUCACGGGCUAUGAGUAAGAGUACCAAGGAAAAUGAAGUCGCGCAUCAAAGUCUACUGCUCUGAUGCGAUGGAAAGCGAGCAAGAGCGUCGAGACUCUGACCAUUGUUGAUGCCACGCAAAAGCUGUCCAUCUGGAAGCCGAGGAGAUGCUGCUGUCAGCGAGAUAAGUGUCUGGUUUGGGGAGGGCUCUGCUCACGCCCAACCCGAGUCCAGGUAGGGAAGCCCAGUACGGUAAGGCUGGGUUUGUAUGAAAAGGUUCCUGACUAGCUGUGGUCACGAGGGAGAAAAGGUCCCUGUUUUCAGAGGUUGCUCAUUUUUCGGGUCAGGAACAGUGUCUCCUGCACAGGGGGAGGUUGGAUCCAGGAGGAUGACUCAGGUGGUGAGUUGCUUGCUUUCCUCCCAUUUGUCUCUCCCUUCUCUAGUGUGUUGGCCAACUUUCUCACUCUCUUCCCUCUCCUCUCCUCGUGUCGUCUCACUUCCUAAGACACGGGCAGACAUGUUAGGUGCGCAUCCCUACAGGCUAGGUCUCGGGAUCCAUGGAGUAGCGGGAGCUGACGAAAAUCAUGCGUAGCAGUGGCUGUUGGUGUUAACUCUGUCUCUGUUGAUGGAGUGGGGCUGAGGUAGAUUGGGUUGGAGAGGGAUGCCAGGUUGAGGGCAAGAUUCGAAGCACCAGUAGAGCUUUGUGUAGUGAUGGCUCAUGCUUGGCUUUUGCAGCUGCUCUUCCAAAGCAAUUUUCCAGGAGUCCUAGACUGAGGAGAAAGUGGCAGAAGUGGACAUGAACAAUCCUCAGCUUUCUGACUCCCGCACAACUGGCUGUGAGUAAGCAGUCAGUGGUCUGAAUUCCUCAUCUGUGCUCGCUGUAGUACUCAUCUCAGGCCUUGUGCUUCCUCGUUCAGUGCGAGGCUCUGUCAGAUUACGCUGGCGAGGGGCCAGAGUCUGCUGUGCAGAGUGAUUAUUUCGGGUGCCGUUGGAAGGGGUGCUUUUUAGUUGUUGUGCUAAAGGCGUAAUGGGGGGGAGGGUUUGGGGCGGAGUACUGCCGCGUGGGAGAGGUGAAUAGAACGUUUCCCACUCUGAUGAUAACUGUGAUUAAUGUGCAUAAAUAUUUGUUAGGCCUCAACCUUCUGGAAAUUGUGUGAAGCGAGUACAGAUGAAUCCUGCAAGAAUAGGUGUAAUCUAACUAGGAAGCUUUGUAGAGUAAAAAGGAAACUCUGUAAAGGUAGAUACAGACCUGUGGUUACUAUGCUCUGCAACCAAAUACCUCUUGAAUCUCAUUUGAGCAUUUUUGAGUCUAGAAAAUUAAACACUAUUAGCCCCAUAGAAAAGAGAUGACCUGAGCACAGGUGCACAGUUCAUAAGAUCAAGACAACUGCACAUACCACACGGAAACAUUUGGCCGCCUUCAUUGAUUGAUGUGUUUUGAAACAUGGCCAGCAAAUACCAUAUAAAUAAGAUGCAGGGGCGCAAGUGUGUUUGUGUGUGUGUGUGUGUGUGUGUGCGUUGGCCUAAAAGAGGUCACUCUUUGUCAGGCUCAUAUACACCCCUUGAACCAAAGGGACUUGCUCUUCACUGACUGACUAUGCCUGGCAGUGCAGGAAAUGGUCAACUGAAGGUAAUGUAUCUUUGGAAGAACUCAGGGUAAGUUUUUAAAGUGAAGAGGUCUGGUUAUGCUCGUGCUGGUUAAUCUUAAGUCUGUAUUAAUACUGUAGUUUAGUUAUAUUAGUAAAUUGUUGAAGUUGUUUAAAGAUUGUAAUAGUCAAUAGUUGAUCAAUAUAUAAUAACUGUAUAUGUUUUUGUGCCUUGCUGGGAAUGGGUACAGUGCUGGUGAACCUAGUAGCUUUGCAUGUCGCUGUGCCUGUCUUUUAUAUAAGUUACCAUCAUAAAAGUCAAUAAAUGCUUAUGAGUUGUUAUACAAAGUUAUAGGUAGGUUAAGGUUAGUAAAAUAUAGUUAGUCCAUGUAUUAAUAUUGCAUAUAGAAUUGUAUUUGUUGGGGUGGGUGCAGUACAUGUAAGGUUACUAGGCAAUCAGUAAUAGUAGCAUUGCAUGCGCUUGUAACUAUUUUCAAUAUUAUUUACCUUUUAUAUGUGCACUUAUAGGAAUAGGCAGUUAUUGCAUAAUAUUACUUGUACUUGUGCUUGUCUCCAGUAUAAUUUGCCAUUUGUAUUAAUCCUCACUCAGUGCUGGUCUUUAAUUCUGUUUUUCUUAUUCUAUCUGUGUUGCCUUUAUAGUCAUAAGUCAUUAAAAACCUUUCUGGAGGAAUAAUUAAUUGCUUAGUUUCUGUUUUGCAGACACUAUUCAGCCUCUUUACAUCUGUGUUGGGUGGUGGGAAGUAGCGAUCACCCAGAGCCCCACUAGGACCCUGACGUGAGCCCCCCUAGGGCUCUGACAUCUGCCUCCUCCUUCCAUUAAUCUCCACAAUAACUUUGUUUUUCCUUCUUGUGCUGGGUUUAGUACCCAGGGAAAAGAAAUCAAACGUCAGUCUACUGCCCUCGUGCGAUGUAAAGCGAGUGAGAGCAGUGAGCCCACGAGCAUGGUUGAUGCACGUGAGGAGCCAUCCAGUUGGCAGUGGAGCAGUUGCUGUGUCUGUGAGAUGAGUGUCUGGUUUGGUGAGUGCUCUGCUCAGGGCCCCCCUGGCUCCAGGUAGGGUUGCCCCAUUAGCUGGGCCUGGGUUUGUAAGAAAUGGUUCUUGACCAGCCAUGCUUACAAGAAAGACAAGUCCCCAUUUUCAGGGGAUGCUCAUUUCUCUGGCCAGGAGCGGUGUGUCUUCCGCAGCAGAAGUUUGCAUCUAGGAGGAUGACUCCUGGUGAUGAGUUGCUUGCCUUCCUCCCACUUCUUUCUCUCUGUCUCUCGUUCUCUUUUCUAGUGCAUUGGCCAGCUUUCUCACUCUCUUUCCUCUCCUCUCGCCAUCUCCCUUUGUAAGACACGGGUAGGCUUGCUAGGUGUGCAUCCCCAGAGUCCAGGUCUUGGGAACCAUAGAGAAGUAGGAGCAGACGAAAAGCAUGCGAGGCAGUGGGUGCUAAAGUGGAACUGUGACUAUCUGCAUUUACUUGGUCUCUGUUCAUCGAGUAGGGCUGAUGUAGACUGGACUGGAGAGGGCAGCAGGGAUGAGGGCAAGAUUUGCUUCCUCAUUGGGUACGGGGCUCUGUGAGAUUACGGCUGGGGAGGGGCCAGAGUCUGCUGUGCAGAGUGAUAAUUUUGGGUGCUGUUGUAAGGAGUGCUUUUUGGUUGUAAUGCUAAUGGUGUAAUGGAGAGUGUUGAGGGCGGAGAACUGCCAUGUCACCAUUUGCUACACCCACAAUUUCCCAUCCCUGGAUCAAUGGGAGAGGGAGUUGUGACAGAUGGCUUGGACUUUGUCAGAGUUUCAA